rnacentral:rRNA from 1 species
CCUACGGGGGGCAGCAGUGGGGAAUAUUGGGCAAUGGGCGCAAGCCUGACCCAGCAACGCCGCGUGAAGGAAGAAGGCUUUCGGGUUGUAAACUUCUUUUCUCAGGGACGAAGCAAGUGACGGUACCUGAGGAAUAAGCCACGGCUAACUACGUUCCAGUAGCCGCGGUAAGACGUGGGUGGCAAGCGUGAUCCGGAUGUACGGGGUGUAAAGGGGGUGUAGGCGGGGACGCAAGUCAGAUGUGAAAACCACGGGCUCAACCUGUGGCCUGCAUUGGAAACUGUGUUUCUUGAGUGCUGGAGAGGCAGGCGGAAUUCCUAGUGUAGCGGUGAAAUGCGUAGAUAUUAGGAGGAACACCAGUGGCGAAGGCGGUUUGCUGGACAGCAACUGACGUUGAGGCGCGAAAGCGUGGGGAGCAAACAGGAUUAGAUACCCUUGUAGUC